UUAAUAGUCCUAGUUUGAAUUGGUCAGAUCUGAUAAUAAGGAUCAGAGAACUUGGGUAUUCCAAGUACCUGGAAUAAAUAGUGGUGUAGUCUUCUGCAAGAGCAAUUUCAAGCUGAAUUUGAUAAAUUGAUUGUUUUAGUGUAGAUGUUGGUUGUAAUUUUCGAUUUGUUAUAUACUUAGAUGGAUAUUUCAGUGAACUUUUGGUUUAUUUUUAUUAGGUCCUGUGGCGGUGACGGCGGCUCUGGCAAAGAUAGAGUUGAUGCACUCGAUAUAUUAUUGAACAUCUUACAAGUAUCCAGCUGCACAAAUGGUUGCUCUUGGGUAGUGUGGCUUUUGAUGCUGGAGCAUUGUAUGCAACUUCGUGAAACAAGUUGAUGUGGUGGCAGAAGCAGAAGAAAAAAAGAGGAGUAGCAAGAGCAAGCAUUAGUCGUGGUCGAAGUGGGCAAGCAAUCAUAAAUACUCCAAUAAUCACUGAUCCAUUUCUAGCACACUAAUGUUUUUGUCCUUGAUGCAAUGUUAAACAAUAAAUUGUCACCGAUUCAUGAUUUUGUGAAA